rnacentral:misc_RNA from 1 species
UCCGAGUUGUCCCCGGCAGUCUCCUUAGAGUCCCCGGCAUUACCCGCUGGCAACUAAGGACAGGGGUUGCGCUCGUUGCGGCACUUAAGUCAACACCUCACGGCACGAGCUGACGACAGCCAUGCAGCACCUGUGUCCAGGUUCCCUUUCGGGCACCCCUGCAUCUCUGCAGGGUUCCUGGCAUGUCAAGGGUAGGUAAGGUUUUUCGCGUUGCAUCGAAUUAAACCACAUCAUCCACCGCUUGUGCGGGCCCCCGUCAAUUUCUUUGAGUUUUAGCCUUGCGGCCGUACUUCCCAGGCGGAGUGCUUAAGGCGUUAGCUACGGCACGGAGGGGGUCGAUACCCCCCACACCAAGCACUCACAGUUUAGGGCGUGGACUAC